GAAUUCACUAGUGAUUAGUAGUUUGAUCCUGGCUCAGAUUGAACGCUGGCGGCAUGCCUUACACAUGCAAGUCGAACGGCAGCGGACCUUCGGGUGCCGGCGAGUGGCGAACGGGUGAGUAAUGUAUCGGAACGUACCUUUCAGUGGGGGAUAACGUAGCGAAAGUUACGCUAAUACCGCAUAUUCUGUGAGCAGGAAAGCAGGGGCUCGCAAGACCUUGCGCUGAUUGAGCGGCCGAUAUCAGAUUAGCUAGUUGGUGAGGUAAAGGCUCACCAAGGCGACGAUCUGUAGCGGGUCUGAGAGGAUGAUCCGCCACACUGGAACUGAGACACGGUCCAACUCCUACGGGAGGCAGCAAGUGGGGAAUUUUGGAG
rnacentral:rRNA from 1 species